AGGCAUUCAGGCAGCGAGAGCAGAGCAGCGUAGAGCAGCACAGCUGAGCUCGUGAGGCAGGAGACUCAGCCCGAGGAAAUCGCAGAUAAGUUUUUAAUUAAAAAGAUUGAGCAGUAAAAAGAAUUAGAACUCUAAACUUAAGCUAAUAGAGUAGCUUAUCGAAAUAUUACUUAGUCUUAAUAAUCUAAGAAGAUCUUAAGAGAUAACAUGAAGGCUUAUUUAAACAGUUUGAAAAAGGAAAUGAGGAGAAAAGUAUUUGUACUGUAUAAUGGAGGCUGACCAGAGCAGUUUAGGAGAUUGUAAAGGGAGGUUUUGUGAAGUUCUAAAAGGUUCUAGUUUGAAGGUCGGCCUUGUAGAUUAAAACGAAGGUUACCUAAAUAGAAUCUAAGUGGCAUUUAAAACAGUAAAGUUGUAGAGAAUAGUUUGAAAAUGAGGUGUAGUUUUAAAAGAUUGAGAAAAGUAGGUUAAGUUGACGGCCGUUAUAAAAAUCCUUCGACUGGCGCAUGUACGUUUGAAGGCAUGAGUUGGAAACAGGGAAGAUGGAAGUGUUAGGCUAGCCGGGCGAUGGUGGCGCACGCCUUUAAUCCUAGCACUUGGGAGGCAGAGGCAGGCGGAUUUCUGAGUUCGAGGCCAGCCUGGUCUACAGAGUGAGUUCCAGGACAGCCAGGGCUACACAGAGAAACCCUGUCUUGAAAAAACAAAAAGGUUAGGCUAGUAUUUGGAGAAAGAAGAUUAGAAAAUGGAAGUGAAAGACGAAGAAGACAUACAGGAAGGUGAAGAAAAAGCUGUUAGAGAAGAUAGGAAAAUAGAAGACAAAGCAUCUUUAGAAGACAGAAAAGGUACUUAAAGGCACAGGUAGUAGGAAGCCGAAGAAUAGAAGAUAGAAAGAAGCAAGAUAGAAAAACAAAAUGGAAGUUAAGACAACUUUGGAUGCCAGCAUUCAAGAUAGGCAAAGAAGAUAAGAUUGAGGCCAAAAGGUGACUUAAUGUAUCUUAAUAACUACUAUAGGAACAAAGGAAGUGGCUUUAAUGACCCUGAAGGAAUUUCUUCUGGUGAUAGCUUUUAUAUUAUCAAGUAAGAGAUACUAUCUCAGUUUUGUAUAAGCAAGUCUUUUUCCUAGUGUAGGAGAAAUGAUUUUCCUUGUGACUAAACAAGAUGUAAAGACCUUUUUCAGAUAACACCAUCUGAGUCAUAACCAGCCUGGCAGUGUGAUGACGUAGAUGCAGAGGGAGCAGCUCCUUGGUGAAUGAGUGAUAAGUAAAGGCAGAAAAAAUAAUGUCAUGUCUCCAUGGGGAAUGAGCAUGAGCCAGAGAUUGUUCCUACUGAUGAAAAGCUGCAUAUGCAAAAAUUUAAGCAAAUGAAAGCAACCAGUAUAAAGUUAUGGCAAUACCUUUAAAAGUUAUGGCUUAUCUACCAAGCUUUAUCCACAAAAGUAAAGAAUUGAUGAAAAACAGUGAAGAUCAAAUGUUCAUCUCAAAACUGCUUUUACAAAAGCAGAAUAGAAAUGAAGUGAAAAUGCUGCAUUAAGCCUGGAGUAAAAAGAAGCUGAGCUUGUUGAGAUGAGUGGGAUCGAGCGGCUGCGAGGCGGUGCAGUGUGCCAAUGUUUCGUUUGCCUCAGACAGGUUUCUCUUCAUAAGCAGAAGAGUUGCUUCAUUCCAUCUCGGAGCAGGAAACAGCAGACUGCUGUUGACAGAUAAGUGUAACUUGGAUCUGCAGUAUUGCAUGUUAGGGAUAGAUAAGUGCCUUUUUUCUCUUUUUCCAAAAAGACCUGUAGAGCUGUUGAAUGUUUGCAGCUGGCCCCUCUUAGGCAGUUCAGAAUUUUGAGUAGUUUUCCCAUCCAGCCUCUUAAAAAUUCCUAAGCCUUGCACCGAUGGGCUUUCAUGAUGGGAUAGCUAAUAGGCUUUUGCAUCGUAAACUUCAACACAAAAGCCUACAUGAUUAAUGCCUACUUUAAUUACAUUGCUUACAAGAUUAAGGAAUCUUUAUCUUGAAGACCCCAUGAAAGGGAUCAUUAUGUGCUGAAAAUUAGAUGUUCAUAUUGCUAAAAUUUAAAUGUGCUCCAAUGUACUUGUGCUUAAAAUCAUUAAAUUAUACAAAUUAAUAAAAUACUUCACUAGAGAAUGUAUGUAUUUA
rnacentral:lncRNA from 1 species